rnacentral:rRNA from 1 species
CCUACGGGAGGCAGCAGUGGGGAAUAUUGCACAAUGGGGGAAACUCUGAUGCAGCGACGCCGCGUGAGUGAAGAAGUAUUUCGGUAUGUAAAGCUCUAUCAGCAGGGAAGAAAAUGACGGUACCUGAUUAAGAAGCCCCGGCUAACUACGUGCCAGCAGCCGCGGUAAUACGUAGGGGGCAAGCGUUAUCCGGAAUUACUGGGUGUAAAGGGAGCGUAGACGGGAGCACAAGUCUGGAGUGAAAUGCCGGGGCUUAACCUCGGAGCUGCGUUGGAAACUGUUCAGCUAGAGUGCAGGAGAGGUAAGUGGAAUUCCUAGUGUAGCGGUGAAAUGCGUAGAUAUUAGGAGGAACACCAGUGGCGAAGGCGGCUUACUGGACUGUAACUGACGCUGAGGCUCGAAAGCGUGGGGAGCAAACAGGAUUAGAUACCCUAGUAGUC